UACGUAGGGUGCAAGCGUUGUCCGGAAUUAUUGGGCGUAAAGAGCUUGUAGGCGGUUUGUCGCGUCUGCUGUGAAAUUUCGGGGCUCAACCCCGAACUUGCAGUGGGUACGGGCAGACUAGAGCGUGGUAGGGGAGACUGGAAUUCCUGGUGUAGCGGUGAAAUGCGCAGAUAUCAGGAGGAACACCGAUGGCGAAGGCAGGUCUCUGGGCCACUACUGACGCUGAGAAGCGAAAGCAUGGGGAGCGAUCCGG
rnacentral:rRNA from 1 species